rnacentral:tRNA from 2 species
GCGCCUGUAGCUCAGCCGGAUAGAGCAUCUGCCUUCUAAGCAGGUUGUCGGGAGUUCGAAUCUCUCCAGGCGCGCCA